rnacentral:piRNA from 2 species
UGCUUAUGGGACAUUGUCUAUCCCCUUCCUGC